UGAGGAGACCAGGAAACGUGCAUCCCAUUUCAGUGUCUGUCCACCAGGGGGUGCAGUUUCCUAACACAAACACAUUUCCUGUCUGAAACUAGGCUUAGGUUUAUCCCUUCACUGUGACUUCAAUAUUUCUUCAUGUGAAGAGUCAAGGACAUUAUUCAGGAGACACUCUAGAGAUGAACUCUUCUCCAGGCUUAGUGACUGUGAUACUCUUAGUACUUGGACAAACCCGUGAAGACUCAGUGACCCAGAUGGAUGGCCAAAUGACUCUUCCAGAAGGGGCUGCCUUGACCAUAAAUUGCACUUAUUCAGCCCCUGGGUACCCCAUUACUUUCUGGUAUGUUCAAUAUCCUGGAGAAGGUCCACAGGUCCUUCUGAAAGCCAUGAAGGACAAUGACAAGGGAACCAAUAAGGAGUUUGAAGCCACACACCACAAAGAAUCAAAAUCCUUCCACUUGGAGAAAGCCUCAGUCCAAGAUUCAGAUUCGGCUGUGUACUACUGUGCUCUGAGUGACACAGUGAUGGGAACCGCAGGGGCAGCUGAGCGCAAACUCUUUGAGUGGCAACAAGGGGCCUGGAGGCUGAGUGUCUCUCCAUUUGAUCCACUCUGUGGCACAGUCUAUGGUGGUUUGUCCCUCAGUCUCUGGUUGAUACAAAACUCAUACAAAUUUCUAGAGAAUAAGAACAAGAAGUGAAUAUUCCCUAUACCCAA